rnacentral:rRNA from 1 species
UACGGAGGGUGCAAGCGUUAUCCGGAUUCACUGGGUUUAAAGGGUGCGUAGGUGGCUUUGUAAGUCAGUGGUGAAAUCUCGGAGCUUAACUCCGCAACUGCCAUUGAUACUGCUUAGCUUGAAUCAAGUAGAGGUGGAUGGAAUAUUACAUGUAGCGGUGAAAUGCUUAGAUAUGUAAUAGAACACCGAUUGCGAAGGCAGUUCACUAUGCUUGUAUUGACACUGAGGCACGAAAGCGUGGGGAUCAAACAGG